CACCCCUUGGUGAAAAUUAUGCCGAAAAGAGCAGGGUUUAGUAGCAUUUGUCGAAAGACCUUGAGGCUAAUAAGAAA
rnacentral:sRNA from 12 species